AUGGAUAAAAUGCUUAGUGUACAUUCAAAAAAAGCAAACAAACACCCCCAAAACACCAAAAAAAAAGCCAGUUAAAGUUGUUUAUAUUUCAAAUCCAAUGAAAGUUAACGCAAGUGCUGAAGAAUUCAGAGCUUUAGUCCAACAACUCACUGGCCAACACGCUAACUACCCGGUAACCGAUACUAAUAUCCGUACUGCUGACGAGAAAAAAGAAUUUUAUUAUUCAGAGUCGCCACCAGGAUAUGAUCAGCAACAAGUUGUUGAGGUAGAUAGUACUACUCAUCAUCAAGUAGUACCUAAUUAUAUGAAUAGUACUAAUGAAACAACGAUGACCGAUAAUUCGGAUCUAUCGUUUGAAGAUUAUGUUGGAGAAGAUUAUGUUCCAGAGUUGUUGGAGAAUUUGCCUACAAAUCAUGUGUGGUAUGACUAAAUGAACUUAUUAAUUUUUACUUUUGUUUAAAUCUAGUUAAUUAACUUCAAAAAGAAGAACAAAAAAGGGCCUUGAAGGCAAUGUAAAUUAGAAAUUAGCUAUUGUUAUAACUAGUACUUGGGCUUUAUGCCUUUGUAUUAAAUUGUGAUGUAAUUUUUGUCAUAUAUAUGCUACUACUAGGUGAUAUUAUUUAGUAGUAGUAAUAUGAAUAGCCUAGCUAGCCAUGUCCAACUUGCCUUGAUAUUUUUGUAUUUAGUGGCUAGUAUUGCAA